rnacentral:tRNA from 1 species
CCUGUAGCUCAGAUGGUAGAGAAUCUGCCUGCAGUGCAGAAGACCUGGGUUUGAUCCCUGGGUCAGGA